GAGGCGCCUUCGGGAGCCUCGCGCGGAAACGGGAAUAUGUCCUAUUAGGUAGUUGGCGGGGUAAAGGCCCACCAAGCCAAUGAUGGGUAGCUGGACUGAGAGGUUGAACAGCCGCAAUGGGAUUGAGAUAUGGCCCAUAUUCCUACGGGAAGCAGCAGUGAGGAAUUUUUCACAAUGGACGAAAGUCUGAUGGAGCAAUACCACGUGAGCGAUGAAGGUCUUCUGAUUGUAAAGCUCUUUUAUUUAGGAAAAAAAGCGCGCCAGGAAAUGGGCGCGCCUUGAUGGUACUAAUUGAAUAAGUGACAGCUAACUAUGUGCCAGCAGCUGCGGUAAAACAUAGGUCACAAGCAUUAUCCGGAUUUAUUGGGCGUAAAGGAAGCGUAGGCGGGGAGGUUGAUCCAUUGUUAAAGGCAUUUGCUCAACAAAUGUGUGCGAUGGAGAUCGCCUCCCUAGAGUUAAUCAGGGGGUACUGGAAUUCAAUGUGUAGCGGUGGAAUGCGUAGAUAUAUUGAGGAACACCAGAGGCUAAGGCGAGUACCUGGGAUAUAACUGACGCUGAGGCUUGAAAGCGUGGGGAGCAAAUGGGAUUAGAUACCCCAGUAGUCCACGCCGUAAACGAUGAGCAUUAGGUAUUUGACGUUACGUCGAGUGCUGUAGCUAACGCGUUAAAUGCUCCGCCUGGGUAGUAUAUAUGCAAAUAUGAAACUCAAAGAAAUUGACGGGGACCUGAACAAGUGGUGGAGCAUGUUGCUUAAUUCGAUAAUACACGAAAAACCUUACCAAGGCUUGUUAUCUACUGCAAAACUAUAGAAAUAUGGUGGAGUAUAUCAGUAAGACAGGUGGUGCAUGGCUGUCGUCAGCUCGUGUCUUGAGAUGUUUGGUUAAGUCCCGUAACGAGCGCAACCCUACUCUCUAGUUAAUUAGUUCUAGAGUGACUGAAUCGUAAGAUAUAGGAAGGAUGGGGCCAAGUCA
rnacentral:rRNA from 1 species